UAUUAUUUUGGCUUUGCUUCCUCCUUAAGCAUUUGUGUUUCCAUUACUAUUCCUUUCUUUUAAUAAAUCCAAUUUCAGUUUACCUUGGGUGAAAGUGUGUUCCUAGUGCUGGGACUAGAGAUGAUAAAAGUUUCGGGAUGUGUCUGUGCUCUCGCUCCACCUUUGUGACGUCUGUCCUGUUCACGCAUGUCAACGCGAGAUCUAAUGCAGAAAAUGAUGAGAUGUCUCAGAAUCACAAAACAAUCAACAAGUGCAUAGAUUUUUUUGCAUUUAAGCGACAUCAGCAUUGCGGAAGUGGAGACUUCCACGUGCUUCAAGGACAGAGAGAUCAGCGAUCAAUCAGACCGGAACGGGAACCAAAUGUCUCAAGCGCUCAAAGAACAACAACUAAUCAGCAGCACUGCUGAAGUGAAGCCUGCCACGUGUUUGGAGGAGAGAAGGAACACCUCUAAUCGCACAUGGACUAGAAAUAAGCUAAAUCUGUACUUCAAUCGGAAGAGCAUCAUGAAGAAGAGACAUCUAAAUGGCCCUCCUGACAUAUUUCAUCUACACCCAAAAAUGCAGUUUAGUCAGUUUAGAGUGCAUACUUCUUGGGAAAAGUAUGCUGUAAGAGAAAUAAAAAAAU